AGAAAUAUUUAAUGACUCCUGUGUUUUUUUUAAAGCUAACUCCCGUGUUUCCUUUAAGUUCCUCAGUCCUCUCUCCUCGAUAGAAAUUGAGAGAACUAAGCCUUAGCUAGAAUCAGUUAGCAGAAGAAUGAAGGAGCAGCAGAAGAACGAAGAAAUUCUUUUCAAUUUUUCAAAUCUAUUCAGCAGAAAUCUUAUUGAACGAAGGGAUCCUUCUCAAUCGACAGACUUCUUCUCCAAAUCUUCACAAAACAAAGCUUUCUAGGAAGAAUCUCCACUUCGAAUCUCCAUCUCUCCACUUUGAAUUGGUAAGUCCUAGAACGAAAAACCCAAAAUAUUGUUAUUGCGAAGUAUAGAAGUAUAGAUCUGUGUGUGUUGCCCGUGUGUGUGUUGCCCGUGGGUUUGUUCCUAAAAAAACUGAAUAAUUUUAAAAAAACCAGUCUCAGUAAGUAUGCACAACAUUAAUCUUCCAGAAACAACAUUAAUCUUCCUUCUAGCAUUCAACUAAUUUAUAAUAUGAUGAACAAGCUAUGAACAUCACAUUUUUCAACAACCCGCUUAAAAUGUUUGCUUUUCAAUGUUACAGCUGCCUCAUGCUUGGCCGAGCAAAGUUGAACUAUGUAAAGGAAGGAGCACACGGCCCAUCUUUCACAACAUUAAUGCCUAAGCUUCUUCAAUUUCAUCAUUGUAGUUGUCAUUGAAUGUAUUAGACUGAGGACUUGGAUAAAGUGGAAC
rnacentral:lncRNA from 1 species